rnacentral:rRNA from 1 species
AUUGAACGCUGGCGGCAGGCCUAACACAUGCAAGUCGAGCGGAUGAAGGGAGCUUGCUCCUGGAUUCAGCGGCGGACGGGUGAGUAAUGCCUAGGAAUCUGCCUGGUAGUGGGGGAUAACGUCCGGAAACGGGCGCUAAUACUGCAUACGUCCUGAGGGAGAAAGUGGGGGAUCUUCGGACCUCACGCUAUCAGAUGAGCCUAGGUCGGAUUAGCUAGUUGGUGGGGUAAAGGCCUACCAAGGCGACGAUCCGUAACUGGUCUGAGAGGAUGAUCAGUCACACUGGAACUGAGACACGGUCCAGACUCCUACGGGAGGCAGCAGUGGGGAAUAUUGGACAAUGGGCGAAAGCCUGAUCCAGCCAUGCCGCGUGUGUGAAGCAGGUCUUCGGAUUGUAAAGCACUUUAAGUUGGGAGGAAGGGCAGUAAGUUAAUACCUUGCUGUUUUGACGUUACCAACAGAAUAAGCACCGGCUAACUUCGUG